UAGGGAAUCUUCCGCAAUGGACGAAAGUCUGACGGAGCAACGCCGCGUGAGUGAAGAAGGAUUUCGGUUCGUAAAACUCUGUUGUUAGGGAAGAAAAAAUGUAUAGUAACUAUAUACAAAAGAGACGGUACCUAACCAGAAAGCCACGGCUAACUACGUGCCAGCAGCCGCGGUAAUACGUAGGUGGCAAGCGUUGUCCGGAAUUAUUGGGCGUAAAGCGCGCGCAGGUGGUUUAGAAAGUCUGAUGUGAAAGCCCACGGCUCAACCGUGGAGGGUCAUUGGAAACUAAUAAACUUGAGUGCAGGAGAGAAAAGUGGAAUUCCUAGUGUAGAGGUGAAAUGCGUAGAGAUUAGGAGGAACACCGGUGGCGAAAGCGGCUUUUUGGCCUGCAACUGACACUGAGGCGCGAAAGCGUGGGGAGCAAACAGG
rnacentral:rRNA from 1 species